rnacentral:hammerhead_ribozyme from 1 species
AUCCAGUGGACGAGUCCCAAAUAGGACGAAGGCGUGUCCUGGAU